UCAAGCUCCUAAGGGUGCAUGGUGGAUGUCUAGGCGUGAUGAGGCGAUGAAGGACGUGGUAGGCUGCGAUAAGCCCAGGGGAGCUGUCAAACGAGCUUUGAUCCUGGGAUGUCCGAAUGGGGAAACCCGGCGUCACAGUGCAAGCUGAUGGCGUCACCGCCGACUGAAUGCAUAGGUCGGCGGGGCGAACGCAGGGAACUGAAACAUCUAAGUACCUGCAGGAAAAGAAAUCACCGAGACUCCGUAAGUAGCGGCGAGCGAAAGCGGAUCAGCCCAAACCGGGCUUCGGCCCGGGGUUGCGGGCGCCAAUCAGGAGUUACAAAGGCAACGGUAGCUGAAGAGUCUGGAAAGGCUCACGAUACAGGGUGAAAGUCCCGUAAGCGACGCCGCAAGCCCUCCGUUACGGUUGGCGUACCAGAGUAGCACGGAGCUCGUGGAACUCCGUGUGAAGCUGGGGAGCCCACUCUCCAAGGCUAAGUACUACAUCACGACCAAUAGUGGACAAGUAGGGCGAUUGAAUGAUGAAAAGCACCCCUUUUAGGGGAGUUAAAAGUACCUGAAACCAUGUACCUACAAGUCGUCGAAGCCCUAUGCCCCGCAAGGGGAAUGGGUGACGGCGUGCCUUUUGCAUAAUGAACCGGCGAGUUAUUGUCUACGGCUUGGCUAAGCCUCUCCGGGGCGGAGCCGAAGGGAAACCGAGUCUUAAUAGGGCGACAUUGUCGUAGGCGAUAGACCCGAAACUGAGUGAUCUACCCAUGGCCAGGAUGAAGCGACCGUAAAAGGUCGCGGAGGUCCGAACCCGUUACCGUUGAAAAGGUAUGGGAUGAGCUGUGGGGAGGAGUAAAAGUCUAAUCAAACUCAGAGAUAUCUGGUUCUCUCCGAAAUAGCUUUUGGGCUAGCCUCGAGUCAUUGCGCAGCGGGGGUAGAGCACUGGAUGAAACGUCGGGCCCACCAGGCUACGACCUUCAACCAAACUCCGAAUACCGUUGCGUGUACCUCGGGAGUCAGUCUACGAGGGAUAACCUUCGUGGUCAAAAGGGAAACAACCCAGAUCGCCGGCUAAGGUCCCAAAACCAUGCUAAGUGACUAAGGAAGUCGGAUUGCUGUGACAGCCAGGAUGUUGGCUUAGAAGCAGCCACCAUUUAAACAGUGCGUAAUAGCUGACUGGUCGAGCAACCCGGCGCCGAUAAUGAUCGGGACUAAGCAUGGCACCGAAGCCGCGGAUUCGUCGCAAGACGAGUGGUAGGAGAGCGUAGCUGUCGGCGUCGAAGGCGUACCGUAAGGAGCGCUGGAGCGGCAGCUAGUGAGAAUGCCGGUAUGAGUAACGAUAAAGCAGGUGAAAAUCCUGCUCGCCGUAAGCCUAAGGUUUCCUGGGGAAGGGAAAUCCGCCCAGGGUUAGUCGGGCCCUAAGUCGAGGCCGAAAGGCGUAGACGAUGGAUAGCAGGUUAAUAUUCCUGCACUAUGCGUGGCGGUUGAACUGCGAAUGACGCAUCUACACACCAGAUCCACCCGGUAGUCGUGGUGGUUGGGGCUGCCGCAAGGCAGUAGCUCGAGGCCGAUUGGUUGCCGAAGUCUGGAACGUAGGUGCCGAGAAAAGCUUCGCGGGGACAAAACGCGUAUCCGUACUAAAACUGACACAGGUAGGCGAGGAGAGUAUCCUCAGGCGCUCGAGAGAACUGUUGUUAAGGAACUAGGCAAUAUGACCCCGUAACUUAGGGAUAAGGGGUCCCUCCCAAACGACUUGAAUAACAUCUUGCCGUUUGGAGGGCGCAGAGAAUCGGAUCUGGCGACUGUUUAUCAAAAACACAGGUCUCUGCUAACUCGCAAGAGGAUGUAUAGAGACUGACGCCUGCCCGGUGCCGGAAGGUCAAGGAAGUCGGUUAGUCCGCAAGGGCGAAGCUGGCAACCUAAGCCCCGGUAAACGGCGGCCGUAACUAUGACGGUCCUAUGGUAGCGAAGUUCCUUGUCGGGUAAGUUCCGACGUGCAUGAAUGGCGUAACGACUGGAUCCCUGUCUCAACAACAGACUCGGUGAAAUUACAAACGCGGUGAAGAUGCCGCGUUCCCGCGGCAAGACGGAAAGACCCCGUGAACCUUUACUGUAGCCUGGUAUUGAUGUCUUGUGCCACAUGCGUAGGAUAGGUGGGAGGCGUUGAAGUCCUGGUCCCGGCCAGGGCCGAGCCACCCUUGAAAUACCACCCUUGUGUCACCAGCCAUCUAACCUCGAGCCGUGAAUCCGGCCGAGGGACAAUGCUUGGUGGGCAGUUUGACUGGGGCGGUCUCCUCCCAAAACGUAACGGAGGAGUCCAAAGGCAUCCUCAGCACGGUUGGCAAUCGUGCGUAGAGUGCAAGGGCAUAAGGAUGCUUGACUGCGAGAC
rnacentral:rRNA from 1 species